rnacentral:lncRNA from 1 species
GUCCAAUUUAUCUUGAGAUCUGGAAUGCAUCUUUUUUGGCAGGAGGGGCUCAAGCACAAACCCGUCUGAGCCCGGCCGAGAAGGAGUGCUGUCCGACGAGAUGGAUGACACUGAGGCGACUGACAGCGGUCUCGAAGACGACGGCAUCGUGAAAGACCUCACCAUGGACCUUGGCCGACUGCCUCGUCUGUCAUCUAGGCUGGAAGGCACAGCUCGGACACCAUACUGCUUUUCAACUUUGUCCUUCAGCUGCCUGAAGCAAGCUUCCAUCCGCUCGUGGAACGGCCUCAGUGCCUCUGUCACCUUCUCACCAUGAAUACGGAUGCCCUCUGCCAGGAAUGGGAUCUGCCAAGCUAUCAGGUCCUUCAGUUUUUCAAUCUUGUCGUGAUCUUCCGGAUGCUCAUGCAUGUAUCUUUCAGUAAAAAAAGCCUUCUCAUAGUUGGUGAAACCUCCCAUGACUGCAGGAUCCACAAUGCCGUUCAGUAGCAUGGAGAGAGGGUUGAUGGGUAGAUUUGGAUCAUUUAGAUGUUGUUGAACCAUAUUAUUGAUCUUAUCGUUUGUUAGCUGCAUGGUUUCUAUUGCAUUUUCUAGUGGACUAAUUUCAACCAUGAAAACUGAUUUGACUUCAAACCACCUCAGAAUCCCUGGUAAUUUGUAUGCUGUCACAUAGAUGGUUCUCUCAAUCCACAUAUUCGCAAAUUCAUUGUCUGGGUUUUUCUCUCCCUUUCGAACGGGCCGUGAGUACUCAAACCGCUGGACUUCAUUCACUCUAUAGAAACUCACAAUUUGUUCUGACACUGGCUUGUGGAAUUUGGGUGGUAAAUCAAGCUUUGGCUUCACAGUAAAGCACUGGAUAUACUGUCCAGAGGAGCUUUUGAUCUCGUCACCCGGUGGAGAUGUUGUCUUCAUUUUCUCUGCAUUGGGAAACUGAGUUAACAACCUCGCUUCAAAGUCUUCACGCCGCUCAUACUCUUUUCCCCGGUAAAUGAAGACUUUGUUCCUUAUGAAAGUCGGAAAUCCCUGGCCAUAGUAUCCAACAGCAAAAUAAUCUGGUUUUGGUCUUAUCACUUUCACAAUGUUUUCAUAGAACUGAGCUUGUUUUCUCAGCAGUUCACUGAGUUGUUCAUAAUCAAACAUUUCAUUUUCAUACUGUUCUGCAAGUUCCUUACCCAAGGCAAUGGCCUCUUCCCACAUCUUGCCCUUGUCAAAGUAAUGGAUAAUUUCUUGAUAUAGCUGAUCUUUCAGCUGUCCUUGAGUAGCAGCCUGGUAUCCAUCCCGCUGGGUAAGAUGUGCUGCGCACGCUUCUUCUGACCACUUCAGAAGCUUUGCAUGCAGAAGCAACGUGUAGGCAGCUUCUGUGUAGUUAUCACAUUCUUUGUGCAGGUCACACAGCUUGUACAGGUAUCUUAUGUACAUUUC